AAUUUUCUAGUUUUGAGAAUCAUAAGUUUAAAAAAUGAAUUCUCAUAUAUUAACAACAAAGAAAGAAAAUGUCAGAGAGACAAAAAGGUAGAGGGGAGAGAGAAAAUGAAUUCUCAUCUGAGCACAUGGGGACUGGUUUCCUACUUUGGCAACCUCAAAAAUAAACUCAAGUAAAUGCUUUCUUUGUGACAUCACCAGCUGCAGUUCUUCUAAUGUGUGUGCUAAUUCUGGCUCAUGGGAUAAACUUUUUAUCUUCUUGAGACAAAAUGUAAGCUGAGUUUAGUCAACUGUAAUGAUCGCUUCUCCUGCUAUGAAAAUGCAUCUACUCACAGGACUCCAGUCCUAGAUGAACCACCCACCUCCCCCUGUGGCUGUGCCUGAGCAACUGUGUAUUAUAACAAGAGUCACAAAAUCAAUCCAGGUGGGACAUUGCUGAGACUCCUGAAGACACCUGAAGAUAAGGUACUAACCAGAUGAACAGGGAGGAAGUGCGAGGAGAUCAAUGUUCCAGGGAGAGGGAACACAGAGACCGAUAUCUGGCAUUAGGAGAAAGCAUGUGCUAUUCAAGAAGCAGAGUGAGAACUUUCUUCCUGUUUGAAGCUGAGUGUCUUGACGAGGAGCUAGGAAAAUGAUCACAGCAAGGUUGGCUGAAGGAUUGGAGACACUGAACACUAUCAGGCCAUGUGUUCAUUGCAAGGUGCAGAGUGAGGAGACCUCUCUACCGUACCCGACUUAACUGGUGCCUAGUAGGAGCCCCACGAGGGAAGGAAUUCUGUCCUAUGCAGACCUGAUAUGGAAUUCUGGGUGUC